GACGAACGCUGGCGGCGUGCCUAAUACAUGCAAGUCGAACGCUUCUUUCCUCCCGAGUGCUUGCCCUCAAUUGGAAAGAGGAGUGGCGGACGGGUGAGUAACACGUGGGUAACCUACCCAUCAGAGGGGGAUAACACUUGGAAACAGGUGCUAAUACCGCAUAACAGUUUAUGCCGCAUGGCAUAAGAGUGAAAGGCGCUUUCGGGUGUCGCUGAUGGAUGGACCCGCGGUGCAUUAGCUAGUUGGGGGGGUAACGGCUCACCAAGGCCACGAUGCAUAGCCGACCUGAGAGGGUGAUCGGCCACACUGGGACUGAGACACGGCCCAGACUCCUACGGGAGGCAGCAGUAGGGAAUCUUCGGCAAUGGACGAAAGUCUGACCGAGCAACGCCGCGUGAGUGAAGAAGGUUUUCGGAUCGUAAAACUCUGUUGUUAGAGAAGAACAAGGACGUUAGUAACUGAACGUCCCCUGACGGUAUCUAACCAGAAAGCCACGGCUAACUACGUG
rnacentral:rRNA from 1 species